ACCAUAUAAGACGCAGUUGUCAGAGACUACAAAUCCCAUGAGUCAAUCUGUCAUCAACAGGAAUGACGUCAUGAAUACCGCUGGUUUUUUUGUCAAUCAAAUUAAUGAAUGAAAAAUCAUUGGUGACCCGAGGAUCUGUUGAUUUUGAGUGAUGCUUGAGAUGGAUUCUACGACAUUUACAAUCAGAGGAUAUGCAGAGAUGGCAGGCAGUGCAAGAGUCCUGCAGCAGAAGACGCCACAGAUGGCCAUCAGGAGGAGCGUCUGGCAGCUGCUCAGUGAAAUCAUGGCUUUCUGCAGACAUUUAAACCAGACUCUCAGUGUCUGUCCUGCGUCACACGGUCCCGUAGGAUACACCCAAUGGUGAUCUGGUGGUCAAACUCAAAUUGGGUUUCUCGGAAAGACUGAAAAUGACACCGACUCAUUUUUCUGUAUAAUACUUAAACGA